GUAUAUAUAGUAUAAGAAAUAUAAUAGAUUUAGGUUCUAUAGCUGGUUUGUAUACU
rnacentral:tRNA from 1 species